rnacentral:rRNA from 1 species
ACUCAAAUGAAUAGACGGGGGCCCGCACAAGCGGUGGAGCAUGUGGUUUAAUUCGACGCAACGCGAAGAACCUUACCAAGGCUUGACAUCCCUCUGCUGGGACUUUAAUAGGUCUUUUCCUUCGGGACAGAGGAGACAGGUGGUGCAUGGUUGUCGUCAGCUCGUGUCGUGAGAUGUUGGGUUAAGUCCCGCAACGAGCGCAACCCUUACGUCUAGUUGCUACCAUUAAGUUGAGCACUCUAGAAGGACUGCCGGUGACAAACCGGAGGAAGGUGGGGAUGACGUCAAAUCAUCAUGCCCCUUAUGUCUUGGGCUACACACGUGCUACAAUGGGCAGUACAGAGGGCUGCGAGACCGUGAGGUGGAGCAAAUCCCUUAAAGCUGUUCUCAGUUCGAAUUGCAGGCUGCAACUCGCCUGCAUGAAGUCGGAAUCGCUAGUAAUCGCAGGUCAGCAUACUGCGGUGAAUACGUUCCCGGGCCUUGUACACACCGCCCGU